AAUGUGCUCACUGAGCUUCCUAGAUCAGCUCUCGUCUUACUCUAGCAAUCUUAGCUCAAUUAGGAUGGAUUCAGGGUGAGAUGCAAGCUAUCGCUUAUGUCUACAACUCCUAGGGCAAGUUCUAGGUAGCUAAUCUAUAAGCAGACAUUAAUGAGAAUCCUAAAGAUGAAUAUCACAACUUAGCAAUCUAUAGUUGGGUCUAAUCCCUCGUAACCUAUUUAAACCCUAAAUCUAACAAAGAGAACUACUCAGACAUGACUAAACAAUUCAUAACAUCAAUAAGGUAUAACAACUGAAUAGAUAAAUACAUAUAUAUCAAAGGAGUUCCAAUCACAAAUCUCUUUGGAUCUUCUCUCCAAUCUACUAAAAAUCCUAGAAAACCUUUUGCUGUGAAAAUAGUAAAACAAGAAAGCCACUACAGGAAAUGUGGGUAUUAAUAGCAUCAGAUUAUAGCGUUUUUGACAAUUCUGCUAUCGUAUACUAACACUGGCUUUUUUAAUAGCGUUUAUAAAUUUAAAAUGCUACGUUUAGUAUCGCGGGAAAAAAUAAAAAAGUUAGCCGCGUUAAUUUGCUAAGUGUUGGCUCCAAUAAUUAGAAAAAAAAAAUAUUUUACCACCAAAACACUUAUCAGAUUCAUUGAGAUGGCUCUCUCUCUCUCUCUCUCUCUCUCUCUCUCUUAACCUUCGUUCUCCAAUUCCUCAGAUUCUUCUUUCUCCGUCGCUGAGAAUAAAGGAGGACAAAGUUCUUCUCUUUUCUGAAUCUCCUCUAUUCUAUCUAAACCCUAACCCACUCCCCUCAAUUUCAUUUUAAGAGUGAAAAACCACUUCCUUAUCCACAAGCCCAAAACGUUUUUGUUUGCUCCUCCGGUCUAAAGAAAAUGGCGACUGCAAACGCUCUCUCUUCCGCCUCCGUCCUCUGCUCUUCACGCCAGGAUGAAGCUAAAGCUGUUGGGCAGUUAAGGAACUAUAGGAUGGCAAGUCUGCUUGGAUGUUGCUAUGAAGGUGAAGAGAGACUUCUUGUUCCUGAGUUUAUAUAUGCCUAACGAAACUCUGGCUAAGCAUCUUUUCCACUGGGAGUCGCAACCUAUGUAGUGGGCAAUGCGAGUAAGAGUAGCUUUACAUAUUGCUCCUGCUCGUAUUCCUGGUGGUGCUUGCCGUGGAACUGCUGAUAUGAGUGACUUAACUAGGUUGUGAACUAGGUUGUGGUUGUGAUUGUGUGUAUUUUGGCUGGUAAAGCUGCUGGAGCUUAAGUGAUUGUUGUUCCUUCUCUGCCCAAACAAACACAUCUUUUUCUUCUCUGCCUAAAGUAAAGUUUGAAGUUAGUCCUUUUAAGACUUGGCAAGACUUAUAUUGUUAAUUAGUAAAAUUUUACUUGUAAAUAAUAUGUUUUAUGAUUGCUUAAAAUUUUGAAAUUUCAUCAAAAGGAAAAAUUUAUGUUCAAAAAUUAAAUUAUUGUUUGUAUUUAUAAAGUACCUAUUAAAUUUUGAUCUCUUAAUUUUUUUUUUUUUGUAUUUUGUAAUUUAAAAAAAAAAACAAAACCCUAAAUCUUAAACAUGUUUUUAAACUGUAAACAUUAAUUAAAAAAAAAUCAAUUUUUCGUAAUAGCUUUAUUCUUAAACCUAAAUUCAAAAUUUAAUCAUUUUAAAAAUCAAUAAAAUCUUUUUUUUUGCUUAUUUGUAUUUUGUAAUUAAAAUACUAUUUCCAUUGUAUAAUUUUAAUCUUAAAAUUAAACUCAAAAUUUGAUAAUUUUAAAAUCUAAUCUCAAAUUUAAAAUCAGAACCUCAAAAAACUAAAUUUUAAAUUUACACCCUAAAUCUAAUACCCUAAACCCCAAACUCAAACCCUACAUAUAAAGUCAAAAAUCUAUUACUACAAAUAAUAUAAUUACUAAACUAAAACCUAUUCCUUAUAUAAACAAUAUAUAUUUAGUGUGGAUGAUAUUAAAAAUAUGGAUUUUGGUGUGCUUAAAACCCUAAACCCCAAAACUUAACCCUAUACUAUAGACAUAAAUCUUUAAACUCUAAUAUUUUCAUGCUAUACACCAGAAUUGUAAAUUCAAACUCAAUUUUUUUAUCUUAAUCUUUAACUUUUGCAACAAAAACCUUAAAACUUUAGUCAAACUCUUAAGACCAACCUUUGACAUUACACUUCAAACUCUAAACUCUACAUCCAAAUCUUAAUACAAACUAUCAAACUUUAAUACCUUAAACCCCAACCUUAAUCUCUACAUAGAAAAUCAUAAAUCCAAUAUUUACAAACUUAUAAUAGAAACUAUAAAUUUAAACCUCAAGCAAAAAUUCAAAUCAUAUACUUAAUCCUAAAUUUUAACCCUAACCCCUAAACCACAUAUCUCAUUUUAACAUAUAUCAUAAAACAUUAAAUCUUAAUUUCUAAAUAAAUUAUAUUUCUGUAAAUAAAUUAAAAUUUCAAAUACAAAAUUUAGAUUUCAAAAUUUAAAUUAUGAUACCAAAUUAUUUAUAGCUUAAAUAAUUUGUAUAUUAGCUAUAAAUAAAUAAGAAGACUAUUUGUAUUGUUUUUUUUGAACCAUUGAUUGAUUUGAAUCAAAGGCCCAAAAUCAUUUUUGUAUAUAUCCUCGUCCUUUAUUCCUAUUGGUUAAAAAAAGUUGUGUGUGGAUUGAUGAUUUUAACCAUAGAUUAGAUAUUUUGAACGGUUGAAAUUAAAUCUUUUUGUGUGUCUCUCUCUCUCUCUUCUCUCACGUUCUUCACUUUCUUCUCUCUCUCUCUCUCUCUCUCUCUCUCUCUCUCUCUCUCUCUCUCUCUCUCUCUCUCUCUCUCUGAAACAAAGAACAACGAGAUUCAUCUUUGUAUUGUCUUUUUUUUUUCUGUCUAUCUUCUUCAUCCUUACACAAAAUCACUCCAUCACCAUAAACCUCAGCCACUGCCAUCAUCUUCAUCUCUCGUUGUAUACCUCUGCCAACGAACUGUGUUUCAGCCAUCACCUCUAAUCACUUCAGCUACGGCUACAAUAAGUGGAUCCAUACGGAAACGUUUGAAGCAGUUAAGUUUUUAUAUUUGAUUUUUAUGGUUUAGAUAUGUGUGUGUGGAAAGUUGUUUUCGUUUGGAUCCUUUAUAUUCAUUAUUGAUUCUGUCUUUAGAUCUGUUGAGAACAUUCAUUUUUAUAUCUGUUUACGUACUGAUUUGCUGUUUUUGGAAUGUGGAGGAGUCAGUAGAUUUUGCGGAGGAGACAGAAGAUUUGGCGGAGAAGCCUGACAUCAGAGGAGGUGUGAUGGCUACGUCAGAGCGCUGUGGUAAAGGAGAUGGAGGCGACGACAGGAGGAAGACGACCAUGGAAGUCGGAAGGAGCGGCGCUGUGGUGAAGGAGAUGGAGGCGACGACAGGAGGAAUACAUACGACCUUGAAAGGAGGAAGGAGCGGUGGCUUAGGUUUAGGUUUCUGUUUAAUGUGUUUCAAUUAGUUCGUAUUCUGGUUUAGUGUUGUAAAAAUAAAAUUUAAUUGUAAAGUGAAUUUCAUUAAUAAAUAAAUUUUCAUUUUUAAUUA